GGUCCCCUGCGAUGUUGGUGAUGAUGCCAUAUUCUUUGAGCCAACAGCAAAAAAAAGGGAGCCGUCCCUUAUUGUGGCUGGCCAGUCUCGAUUCUGCGGAAAACGAGAACGCCAAAAGCAAUAAUAUGGCGCCCACCUAUACACAUAGGUUCAAACAAGAAGCAUCACACGGCAUCAGCGGGGGCAUA
rnacentral:other from 1 species